rnacentral:rRNA from 1 species
AGUGACGAUAGCCUAGGAGAUACACCUGUACCCAUGCCGAACACAGAAGUUAAGCCCUAGAACGCCGGAAGUAGUUGGGGGUUGCCCCCCCUGUGAGAUAGGGAAGUCGCUUAGCU